rnacentral:lncRNA from 1 species
GCCCACACACAGCUUCAUCACUCCACACACUGCCAGGAAGGGCUGCUGUGAGAAGCCUCUACAUUAAAGGACAGUUGAGAAGAAGCUGGUCACGCUUCCAUCACCUCCACUCAUUUUAUUUCAAGAAGAGAAAAACUGGAGGACGUUUGCAUAAUUCCAUUCCACCAAUCCUGCUUCUGUGGUGCCUCGUCAGUGACCAAAUGCAUCGCUUCAUCUCCUCAGUGCUGAUCAUUACACCUCUGCGCUGCCAGGCCACAUCAAGCAGCAGGGCUGCCUUCCACUACAACACCAACUCCAGAAAGAAUGUGAUUACAUUGACCUUGCCCCUCCUCAAAACAAUGCUCUGUUCUCUCCCUGGGAGCCCAGGAAGGGACCACACUCAACUCAUCUCUUAAAAGAAGAUAGGUCAACCUCUCUAGUAACGCCCACCACCACCCCUCAGUGUUUAAUGCUAACCACU